GUCCACGCUGUAAACGAUGGAUGCUAGCCGUCAGCAAGCAUGCUUGUUGGUGGCGCAGCUAACGCAUUAAGCAUCCCGCCUGGGGAGUACGGCCGCAAGGUUAAAACUCAAAGGAAUUGACGGGGGCCCCGCACAAGCGGUGGAGCAUGUGGUUUAAUUCGACGCAACGCGAAGAACCUUACCAACCCUUGACAUGUCCGGUCGGUUUCCAGAGAUGGACUCCUCCCAGCAAUGGGCCGGAACACAGGUGCUGCAUGGCUGUCGU
rnacentral:rRNA from 1 species